AACGAACGCUGGCGGCAUGCCUAACACAUGCAAGUCGAACGAGACCUUCGGGCCUAGUGGCGCACGGGUGCGUAACGCGUGGGAACCUGCCCUUAGGUUCGGUAUAACUCCCCGAAAGGGGUGCUAAUACCGGUUAAUGUCUUCGGACCAAAGAUUGUUGGCCUUUGGAUGGGCCCGGGUUGGAUUAGCUAGUUGGUAGUGUAAAAGCCUACCAAGGCGAGGUUCCAUGGCUGGUCGGGGAGGAUGAUCAGCCACGCUGGAACGGGGGCACGGCCCACACUCGGACGGAGGGCAGCGGUGGGGAGUAUUGGGGGAGGGAGCAUGAUGCAGCAACGCAGCGCGGGGGAAGAGGGGAUGGGGUUAGGAUUGUAAUGCUCUUUGUGCCGAGGCGUGAAUGACGGUACCGGGUAAAGAAGCACCGGCUAACUACGUG
rnacentral:rRNA from 1 species